GACGAACGCUGGCGGCGUGCUUAACACAUGCAAGUCGAACGAGAACGCACCUUCGGGUGCAAGUACAGUGGCGAACGGGUGAGUAACACGUGGGCAACCUGCCCCGGAGAGAGGGACAACUCGAGGAAACUCGAGCUAAUACCUCAUGAUCAGCUCUUACUUAGGUGAGAUCUGCAAAUGGUAGCUUCGGCCUCCGCUCUGGGAUGGGCCCGCGCAGCAUUAGCUAGUUGGUGAGGUAACGGCUUACCAAGGCGACGAUGUUUAGCUGGUCUGAGAGGACGAUCAGCCACACUGGGACUGAGACACGGCCCAGACUCCUACGGGAGGCAGCAGUGGGGAAUCUUGCGCAAUGGACGAAAGUCUGACGCAGCAACGCCGCGUGAGUGACGAAGGCCCUAGGGUCGUAAAGCUCUUUCGCUAGGGAAGAUAAUGACGGUACCUAGUAAAGAAGUCCCGGCUAACUCCG
rnacentral:rRNA from 1 species